AUUGAACGCUGGCGGAAUGCUUUACACAUGCAAGUCGAGCGGCAGCGCGGGGGCAACCCUGGCGGCGAGCGGCGAACGGGUGAGUAAUACAUCGGAACGUGUCCUUAAGUGGGGGAUAGCUCGGCGAAAGCCGGAUUAAUACCGCAUAAGCUCUGAGGAGGAAAGCGGGGGAUUCGCAAGGACCUCGCGCUGUUGGAGCGGCCGAUGUCGGAUUAGCUAGUUGGUGGGGUAAAGGCCCACCAAGGCGACGAUCCGUAGCUGGUCUGAGAGGAUGAUCAGCCACACUGGAACUGAGACACGGUCCAGACUCCUACGGGAGGCAGCAGUGGGGAAUUUUGGACAAUGGGGGCAACCCUGAUCCAGCCAUUCCGCGUGAGUGAAGAAGGCCUGGUGUAAG
rnacentral:rRNA from 1 species